GACAGAGGGUGCAAACGUUGUUCGGAAUUACUGGGCGUAAAGCGCGUGUAGGCGGCAGGGCAAGUCGGAUGUGAAAUCCCGUGGCUCAACCACGGAAGUGCACCCGAAACUGCCCAGCUAGAGUCUCGGAGAGGAAGGUGGAAUGCUUGGUGUAGAGGUGAAAUUCGUAGAUAUCAAGCGGAACACCGGUGGCGAAGGCGGUUCUCUGGGCAUGUCCUGACGCUGAGGAGCGAAAGUGUGGGGAGCGAACAGG
rnacentral:rRNA from 1 species